UACGGAGGGUGCAAGCGUUAUCCGGAUUCACUGGGUUUAAAGGGUGCGUAGGCGGACAGGUAAGUCAGUGGUGAAAUCUCCGAGCUUAACUCGGAAAACUGCCUUUGAUACUCUCUGUCUUGAAUAUGGUGGAGGUAAGCGGAAUAUGUCAUGUAGCGGUGAAAUGCUUAGAGAUGACAUAGAACACCUAUUGCGAAGGCAGCUUACUACGCCUACAUUGAUGACGUGAGGCACGAAAGCGUGGGGAUCAAACAGG
rnacentral:rRNA from 1 species